UAGGGAAUCUUCGGCAAUGGACGGAAGUCUGACCGAGCAACGCCGAGCGAGUGAAGAAGGUUUUCGGAUCGUAAAGCUCUGUUGUUAGAGAAGAACGUUGGUAGGAGUGGAAAAUCUACCAAGUGACGGUAACUAACCAGAAAGGGACGGCUAACUACGUGCCAGCAGCCGCGGUAAUACGUAGGUCCCGAGCGUUGUCCGGAUUUAUUGGGCGUAAAGCGAGCGCAGGCGGUUCUUUAAGUCUGAAGUUAAAGGCAGUGGCUUAACCAUUGUAAGCUUUGGAAACUGGAGAACUUGAGUGCAGAAGGGGAGAGUGGAAUUCCAUGUGUAGCGGUGAAAUGCGUAGAUAUAUGGAGGAACACCGGUGGCGAAAGCGGCUCUCUGGUCUGUAACUGACGCUGAGGCUCGAAAGCGUGGGGAGCAAACAGG
rnacentral:rRNA from 1 species